rnacentral:rRNA from 1 species
AGAGUUUGAUCCUGGCUCAGAUUGAACGCUGGCGGCAUGCCUUACACAUGCAAGUCGAACGGCAGCGCGGGGCAACCUGGCGGCGAGUGGCGAACGGGUGAGUAAUAUAUCGGAACGUGCCCUGGAGUGGGGGAUAACGCAGCGAAAGUUGCGCUAAUACCGCAUACGAUCUAAGGAUGAAAGCAGGGGACCGCAAGGCCUUGUGCUCCUGGAGCGGCCGAUAUCUGAUUAGCUAGUUGGUGGGGUAAAGGCCUACCAAGGCAUCGAUCAGUAGCUGGUCUGAGAGGACGACCAGCCACACUGGAACUGAGACACGGUCCAGACUCCUACGGGAGGCAGCAGUGGGGAAUUUUGGACAAUGGGCGAAAGCCUGAUCCAGCAAUGCCGCGUGAGUGAAGAAGGCCUUCGGGUUGUAAAGCUCUUUUGUCAGGGAAGAAACGGUGCGGGC